CGCCGGAUCCGGGAUCCGGGAGUCGCGCUAGGACCUGGAGGGCUAGUCGGCGGGCUGCGCGUCCGGCCGCUAGCUGAGCUGGAGGCCACCGGCCAGAGCCGACCCCAGGAGUGAGAGAGACAGGGGCGUGCGUGAGUUCCGGCGGCCUGCACCGGGCAAACCCCGUACCUUCCCAGCAUCGGCUCAGCAACCCACGUGCAUCCAGGCCGGUCAAUGUCAUUGAGUCACCUCCGCGCCUUGGCCACCCUGGAGUCCCGAGAAUCCGAAGUUCCAGACAAAUGCCCAAACUACAUUCCUGCAUGUUCGAAAGCGUAAAUUGCAAAGCACAAAUCCAGUUGUAGAUUGUGGCCGGGAGCAGUGGCUCACGCCUAUAAUCCCAGCACUUUGGGAGGCCGAGGCGGACAGAUCACGAGGUCAGCACUUCGAGACCAGCAUGGCCAACAUGGUGAAGCCCCAUCUCUACUAAAAAUACAAACAUUAGCCAGGCAUGGUGGUAGGCCCCUGUAAUCCCAGCUACUCGGUAGGCUGAGGCAGGAGAAUCACUUGAACCCGGGAGGCAGAGGUUUCAGUGAGCUGAGACUGCACCAUUGCACUCCAGCCUGGGCGACAGACCAAGACUCCAUCUCAAAAAAAAAAAAAAAAAAGUUAUAGAUUGUAAGGAAAAUACCCCCAAGGAAGUUGAGGACACAGCAGACUUGGACUGUCUCCAAACCUGUUCAUUCUUCUGAGUGCACUGCUCGGAGCAUCCUAUUGGGCAGCAUAUCCUGGCCUCCUUUCCAGUUCGAUGUGGUACUAUACCUGAUUUCUGGCCAAUAAAAUAUGAGAGGACAUGAAAUUCAACAGCCCCUGGGCUUGGCUUAUAAAACCUUCCAUGCAAUCCUCCACACCUUUUCACCUCUCAGCUGCUGAGACUUUUCUAGGCACUACACAGAAGCAGCCUGGGUCUCCAGUAGCAAAGGAGAGCAGAUCCUUCUCACUAUCCUGCACCGAACUGUGACAUGAGCAAAAAAUAAAGUUUUUAUUUUCUUACACCAUUGA
rnacentral:lncRNA from 10 species